GGUGAGUAAUGUAUAGGAAUCUACCUAGUAGUACGGAAUAAUUGUUGGAAACGACAACUAAUACCGUAUACGCCCUACGGGGGAAAAAUUUAUUGCUAUUAGAUGAGCCUAUAUUAGAUUAGCUAGUUGGUGGGGUAAUAGCCUACCAAGGUAAUGAUCUAUAGCUGAUCUGAGAGGAUGAUCAGCCACACUGGAACUGAGAUACGGUCCAGACUCCUACGGGAGGCAGCAGUGGGGAAUAUUGGACAAUGGGCGAAAGCCUGAUCCAGCCAUGCCGCAUGAGUGAAGAAGGCCUUUGGGUUGUAAAGCUCUUUUAGUGAGGAAGAUAAUGACGGUACUCACAGAAGAAGUCCUGGCUAACUCCGUGCCAGCAGCCGCGGUAAUACGGAGAGGGCUAGCGUUAUUCGGAAUUAUUGGGCGUAAAGGGCGCGUAGGCUGGUUAAUAAGUUAAAAGUGAAAUCCCGAGGCUUAACCUUGGAAUUGCUUUUAAAACUAUUAAUCUAGAGAUUGAAAGAGGAUAGGGGAAUUCCUGAUGUAGAGGUAAAAUUCGUAAAUAUUAGGAGGAACACCAGUGGCGAAGGCGUCUAUCUGGUUCAAAUCUGACGCUGAAGCGCGAAGGCGUGGGGAGCAAACAGGAUUAGAUACCCUGGUAGUCCACGCUGUAAACGAUGAAUGUUAAAUAUGGGGAGUUUACUUUCUGUAUUACAGCUAACGCGUUAAACAUUCCGCCUGGGGACUACGGUCGCAAGAUUAAAACUCAAAGGAAUUGACGGGGACCCGCACAAGCGGUGGAGCAUGUGGUUUAAUUCGAUGCAACGCGAAAACAAUUACCACUUCUUGACAUGAAAUAUGCCCUUUUCA
rnacentral:rRNA from 1 species